rnacentral:lncRNA from 10 species
GCCCUGACUCUGCGGGGAGAGGACCAGGGAAGAUCCACAUUUGGUACUUUCUUCAUCUCUGCACUGUGUGCCGCUUCCUUCGGUUGAUUUUUAUCUGGGCCCUUUAGCUGUAAUAAACCAUAGAUGAAGUAAGGCCAGCCAAGUUCAGCGUAACAGGAGUUUUAUGAGAAGGACCAAGGUAACCUCAAAGCCAAGAGUGACUUCAGGGGGAACACAAGUCUGACGGGAAGGCCAAGUACAGCAGGGAGACUAAGGAGGCGAGAGGGACAGGCGGCAGAGGCAGAGGCCAAAGAUGAGGCCCAUCGGCUCAGUUUUUUGGAAGGCAGGCCCAGACAUGAAAAAAGGAUGCCAGUGCUCUCUCUUCUCCUUCCA